UACGAAGGGGGCUAGCGUUGCUCGGAAUCACUGGGCGUAAAGCGCACGUAGGCGGAUUGCUAAGUCAGGGGUGAAAUCCUGGAGCUCAACUCCAGAACUGCCUUUGAUACUGAAGAUCUUGAGUUCGGGAGAGGUGAGUGGAACUGCGAGUGUAGAGGUGAAAUUCGUAGAUAUUCGGAGGAACACCAGUGGCGAAGGCGGCGCACUGGUCCGGUACUGACGCUGAGGUGCGAAAGCGUGGGGAGCAAACAGG
rnacentral:rRNA from 1 species